GAAGUGAAAAUUUCUCGUUGAACAAAUCUGUUGUGCCACAUGAUGUUCUUCUGGAAGCUGUCUUGGGAGCAGGCUUGUGAUGUCUUGCUUCAAACAGACACUUGAGAGGGUGCUUGAUAUUUAGAAAGAAUAUAAAUGGAACCCCACAAACAAUGAGAGGAUAUUCUUCUAUUUCUAUGCACUUCAAAGCUUCUCUGGUCUUCACUUAGUAGAGAGAAACAUACCUGAGAAUUUCUUGUAUUCUUCCUGCUGAUUCUCCAUUCUUCCAGGGACUCUUGCCAGUUGGGAGGACCCUGGCUGUUGCUGCUGAUCAUACUGCCUCUACUGAUUCCAAUUUGGUGUUUGCUGUUGAACUGGACUGGUAGUAUCCUGACAACAAAGAGUGGAAUCACCCCCAAGGAAGUUCUUCUAAACAGGAUGCCAGCCACUGCUGCCCAUGGAAUAGUACAAGGUAGAUUCCAGAAGUAACUAACCAGACUCAGUACACUGUGUGAGAUGUCUGUGUAUGUUAUUACAUGAGGAGCCGACGGGGGAAGACCAGGAUUCUGAUGAAGGAUCAUCCUUAAAACACCGAGUAAAGGACAGAGAAAGUACAGCUCUUGAGCACAUCAGAGAAGGCUAGUGUAACUUUCUUGGUGAAGGCAUGAAGUGUCAUGGUGUUAUUCAACUCCCGGUCCACCCCCUGAGUGUUGGUAGCCACCCGUACCAGCUGUUGUCUGUUAGUACAGGGCACAGCUGUUGUCCACCCCGAAGGAUGCAGUGCGCAUGCGCAAGGGUGUGUUUCUCCCAAGUCUUUGCCCAACCCGGGGCGUGCC
rnacentral:sRNA from 1 species